CAGUAGCCGCGGGAAUACAGAGGGUGCAAGCGUUAAUCGGAAUUACUGGGCGUAAAGCGCGCGUAGGUGGUUUGUUAAGUUGGAUGUGAAAUCCCCGGGCUCAACCUGAGAACUGCAUCCAAAACUGGCAAGCUAGAGUAUGGUAGAGGGUGGUGGAAUUUCCUGUGUAGCGGUGAAAUGCGUAGAUAUAGGAAGGAACACCAGUGGCGAAGGCGACCACCUGGACUGAUACUGACACUGAGGUGCGAAAGCGUGGGGAGCAAACAGGAUUAGAUACCCCAGUAGUCCCUGUCUCUUAUAC
rnacentral:rRNA from 1 species